AGGUAGUUGGGCUUCUUUUAUGUCUCUUAGCAGUGUUUAUUCAGAACAGCUUUGGUUUGUUCUUUAAGCAGCUGACUUGUUUUAUUCAGCGAUGUGUUCUGUUCCUCAGGUGGGUUCCACAGGAAUCCUUGGUGAGAUCAUGUAAGGUGGCCACGUAAUGGGUGCCUAGGACUGCAGGCUCCGCUGGAUCUGUCUGCAAUAAUUCCUCAGCCCAGUCGUGCUUUGAUAGACCUCACCUGGGAGCAGUCAUAAAGACAGAAGGGCAGCAAGCUCCUGCUUCAUACCUCAGUAACCCACAGCCUCCCCCUGUGCACAUGACUCCCACAGAUGCAGUAAAACCUGAUUUAAGUGCCAGCAGAGAGAGACUGCUUGGAGGGGAACUUGGCACCAUGUUUCUUGGCCUCUCCAAAUCUGGAUUAUGA
rnacentral:lncRNA from 1 species